UUUGGUGGUCAUAGCGAGAGCAAAACACCCGGCUCCAUUCCGAACCCGGCCGUUAAGUGCCUUUGCGCCGAUGGUACUGCAUCUUAAGGUGUGGGAGAGUAGGUCACCGCCAAAC
rnacentral:rRNA from 1 species